rnacentral:rRNA from 1 species
GACGAACGCUGGCGGCGUGCUUAACACAUGCAAGUCGAGCGGAAAGGCCCUUCGGGGUACUCGAGCGGCGAACGGGUGAGUAACACGUGAGUAAUCUGCCUCUAGCUCUGGGAUAGCUCCGGGAAACCGGGAUUAAUACCGGAUACGACCACUCAAGACAUCUUCUGUGGUGGAAAGAAUUUCGGCUAGAGAUGAGCUCGCGGCCUACCAGCUUGUUGGUGGGGUAACGGCCUACCAAGGCGACGACGGGUAGCCGGCCUGAGAGGGCGACCGGCCACACUGGGACUGAGACACGGCCCAGACUCCUACGGGAGGCAGCAGUGGGGAAUAUUGCGCAAUGGGCGAAAGCCUGACGCAGCGACGCCGCGUGGGGAUGAAGGCCUUCGGUUGUAACCCUU